UGCAGCACAGCGCAGCGCUCCUGGAGAGGCUGUGGGUUCGUGGCAUCCGCGCCGCGGCCGCAAGUAUAGCAGGUUUCGUACCUGGUGUUCAUCGCCGUUAAGUCAUCGCUGCUGCCACCCAGGCACGGCUCUCUAUGCCGCCGCUCCCUCCACCCUCUAGGCACUGCCUGCCGUAAGAAUUUUAACUGCGACACUCGCUUCAGCAGGACAAGCAGAAGGCCUCUGCGCGGGAAUGAAAGUGCGCAUGCGUAAGAGGGAGCAUGUUGGCCGUUUAACACUACGCCCUCCGCCCGCCGCGUCCGCCGCCUGAAGGAAGCUUCUUUUCCCGCGCCUCGCGCGCUAGCGCGGGUGGCAGAGAAGGAAGUGACGCACCGGGAUUUUAUUGGCUGCAGACACACGCAGCAUCUUCUUGCGCUCCUCCUUGAGGUGGAUGGGCAGCUAGCUGGAGAUGACACAGGAUGAUGCGCAUCUUUCGCACGCUGGCUCCAAGAUCUCCGCUGCCAGAUGCAGCAACAAAGCUUCUUUGUACAGACAGCCCUGGACACACUUCCAGCAGCAAUUCUUCUUGCAGGAACUGGUGCAAGAACAGGAUUUAUUCGUGGCACAGGAGCAGUUGGUGUCCACUGGGAGUGGAGGCAGAAGAGAGACCAGAGCGGGUAUGUUAGGAGAGAAAGCAGUGACUUCAACAGAAGUGGAGUAAAUAAAGAUGAUCACAGAACUUGGAAGCUGACGAAAUUAAUUUUGGAAAAGAGCUGGCUUGGAGCAUGACAGAAGAAUUCGAUGGAAAGAGUGCUGGGAGCCCAACUCAAGACUGAUGUGUGCUUGGCAGGCAGUCUACCCCCGAUCUCAGUCCUCCAGCCUUUCGGCCUUUUUUCCUUUUUGGAGACAGAAUUGCAUCAUAUGGCAUCCUACACAGUCCUGCCUCAGUCUCUGCAGUGCUGGGAUUGUAGGCCUAUGCCACCUAGCCUUUCUACAAUACAAACAAAUAUGAAAAGAAGAGGGACUUCUUUGGAAAGGAGUACAGGGACUAUGGAAGAGAUGAAAAGAUAAUAUUGUCAGAAAUUAUGCCGCUUUUGAAGAGAUAAACUGAACUCUUGAUUCUGUGAGGUUAUUAAAGAAUAUUAAUUUUCAAAUCACGGUAAAAUCUUGAUUCAGCAACACAUGAGGAUAAUCAUUGUGUCCAUGGAAACCUUGGGAAGCAGUUGAAAGCCUGGUCCCUCUUGCCUGGAGCAUUAACACAACGUGGCUGCAAAGUUAGUCCUUUCCCGCUACCAUCUCCUGAAUACUGGGACUAACUACACGUAUGCACGAACCUGCCCAUCUUUGCCUCUGUUAACAGCUGCCACUGUCUCUUCACGACAUGAUGGCUGACCUAGGGAAGAUAUUUUUGAAAAAGGGUUUAGCGUUUGCCAGAUCCUAUGCGUGAGUGACCUCAAAAGAGAAGAGGAGGGUACUUCUCAAUGACAAAGCGCUCUGUAAACUGUCUAGUCUCAGAGAUUCACCUCCGUCUUGCCUCCUGAGUGCCCGGAUUACAGGUUGGAAGGAACAGAGCCAGUUGGCCAUGGACUGAAACUUUUGGAACGGAUUCUGAGGAGUUAAUGUUUCCAUGAAUAUCUCAGAAGGAGAUGUGGACAAACGAACAGUUAUCUCACUCCUGUACAGGGAGACAUCUAUCCACUUAGAGAAUGCUGUGCCAGUAAAGCUGGCGUCUUGAAUUUCAGGGUGAGCCUGGAGAAGCAAAGUUACUAAGCUUGUUAAGUAUGAAGUAUUUAAACUCGGAGACGUAGGGAAAGCACGGGGACAAUACACAAUUUCAAGGCUUCCUGAGAGCUGAGAUUAAAUGUAUGUAUAAUGUCUACCUAGAUGGUUCCUUGGCUUUUUGUUUGUAUGAUUUAUUGAUUAAUUUUGGUUUUUCAAGACAGGGUUUCUCUGUGUCCUGGAACUCACUCCCAAAAAAGGGAAGGAUAGAAGAAAGAUUAUAAAAUGUACAUAUAUUGAUGGAAAUUUUGUCAUAGCUGUGAGAUUCCUUCCAGUGGUCUAGCAAAGUGUGGCUCAAGGUAAGCCCACCUUCCUGAGUGAUUGUCCCUUGGCCAAGCACAUGACUCAGCCCAACUGGAUUAAUUUGUAAGGGAGGAGACAAUGGCAUGCCUGCACCCAGAGGACAACUUGAGCAGAAUCUAAGAGAUUCCUUUAAUUACAAGGUUGGACUACAGUGAUCACUGAGUAGGAGCUUCGUCUUUAAAAUCUGGGGUGUGCUGUUAUGGUUGGUAUUCAUUUUCCUUUACCCGCUUUCCCCAUACCUCCAUUUAUAAUUUUAUUGCUGCUCAUAGCUCCAGAAGGAUAUAGUAACAGAGCAGGCAUGGCCUCAGUGUGGUAAGCUAAGUGAGAACAGGAAGUGGAACCAGGGUAGAAAACCCCAGUCUUGCCCCUAGUGACACACCUCAAGCAAGGUUCUCCUUCUGAAAGGUCCCAUUACAUUCCCAAAUGUAGCCACCACCUGGGAUAUGAGUGUUCAAAUACAUGAGGUAGGGCCACGGUGUUCCUUCAAAGCACCACAGAGGGCAGAAUGUACACCCUGCUAGAAUAGCUUUCUAUGAAAGGAUCCAUCUCUUCACUGGAGCAGGCAGACAUAUGAAGAAGACAACUUGGAGUGGUCGUGAAAGGAUUUGAGGUUUGGCAUGGACUCUAAGAAGCACGAGAUUUGUGGUUUUCCUUCUUUGUUUCUUGCUAGGUAGUCCUGGCUGUCUAGUAACUACCUACAAAGAUCAAGGAGACCCCAAUCUUGUAGCAAUCCUGCUGCUGCCUCACAAUUGUUAGGAUUAUAGACAUGGGCACAUGUUCAUUAGAAAGUUGCACUGUUCUCUAAUUCAUCUUUUAAGAUAAACUAUAGAGGGAUGAAGAUUAGCAUGUUACACCACCACAGAUAGAAACCAUUCUAGUAUCACGAAACAUCCAACUCAUGUAGAAUUUCCAUUCGCUGUUUGGGAUGAUAGAGAGAUGGAAUUGAGUUUUUAGAAGGUAAACCACACAAGAGAGUCUAGGGAACUGACAGAGCCUGGCUGGACUGCACAGUUCGUCCUCAAACGACUUUUUACUGACCCAGCUCCUGAGGAAAGGACCCUGGUGUCUGAACUUCAACGCUGAUUUAAUAAUCAUUGUUUUCAUGACUGGUCCUUUAGAAAUCUGGCCUGCUUUAUAUUUGCCCCUGGGGCUUAGACAAGGGAGAAAAAUGGAAAAUACUGUCCGAGGUAACCACAGCCACACAGAACCUCAUACACCAAGUGGUUAGCCUUAUCAUAGAGCACAGGUGCCUGUUCUCAGUCACAUGCUAGCCCUGUCUUAGGAUUUUGUUUACAUUAACCAUUCUAUUUCACAGUAUUAAUGUCCUUAUACACAAGAUACACAGAAAUCUUUGUUGUGUUAGACAUCAACAAUGAAAAAUCCCUCAGGCCCAAAUAUCAGAAGAUAGCACGAAAAUACCAAGUCAGAACGAAGAGGGUGGCCAGUGGAUUUGAAGGUAGAUGCAGACUUUAUCAUGGUUACUCCUACAAUACAGAACAUUCUUGUUUAUUAGUCUGAUACCAGCCAUCUGAUGUCAUGUUGGCAACUAGAGAAGCUUUAUAUAAGAACAGGAGCUCUGUAAGAAAAUAUUGUAGGAAUUAGGCUUUAUAAGACAAUCGUGGCCCUUGGCAGUCUUGGUUAAGUCUCUUAGGAUGGUUAGGGUAGAACUUAGGUGUGAAAAGUCUUGACUUUCAAUUAUUCUACAUUGAAUUCCCAGAACACCUGAGUCAAGCUUUAUUGUGUUUAUUACCCUUGGUCUUGCCUCCUCAUUCUUGUGUGGACUCCUUAACUCCUGCCUCUCUUUACCCAACCCAAAUGUGUUUCAGCAAUCUUCUUUCCCUGCCCAGUACUGGAUCUGUGAAAAGCUGAAUCAUGAAUCAGUGAGUGUGCGGAUUGGAACCCAAGUUGCUCUCUGGAUAGAACGAAAGGAGUCGUGCCCCAAGAAGAUGGAGAGGGAAGUUAUGAAAUGCUGUGACCAAAUAACAAAUGCUGAUGUUUGGGGAGAUAACUGUUUCCCAUAGGAAAUAGAGUGAAUGCGAUGUCUUUCUUUUGUGAGGGAUUCAUAGACCGCUUCUCAACGCUUGUUACAUGUUACUCCUUUUUUCGAGAUUUUUAUUUACCUAACUGGGAAAGAAACCAGAACAAGGUUUUCAUUGAAUUCUGAUACAGGUAUUUAAAGACUUACGGACAAGAUAUAGAAGAAGAAGUGGUAAUUAACUGAUUAAAGAAGUACAGUUUAUAUCCAGUAGACAGACAGGCUCCAGACAUCCUUAGUGCUGUCUUAGCAUCAAAGGUUAAUCUACCUAAUACUUGUCAUCCUGAAAUGCAUGGUGGAACAUCCAACAGACAAGAGCUACUUCAGGGAAGGACUAUGAUUUUUGUCGUGGAAGACAUUUAACACAGGGCAGCUCCUGUGCACUUACAUGAUAGAUAUUGCUCUUCCGGGGACUCUGAAUGCUCAUCCCACUUUCAGCUCACUAGGCACAUCGAACUAGAAAUUUUAUCAUCUCGUGAAUUAGUCCAAUACCUGAAGGAGCAAGAGAACCAACACCCAGUUGACAAGAAUAUGACCUGUUGAUUGAAGACCAUUAAGAAAGUAACUUGAUUCAGUUGGACUGGACUUUUUUAUUCUAUUGAAAAAGGAAUUUAUUUCCCCUCAGUGAACGUAACAUGAUCAACAUUUUGAAAGUUGUGAACAUGCAUAGUUCUAUAAUUUACAAAAUAAUUAUAAAAAUCUGAGUAUGGAUGCAGCAUAAUUUCAGAACAGAAUAGCCAUCAUACUUUUUAUAUAUCUUAAAUUCGAGUUUUCAAGAGUAUAUUUCUAUGUUAUAUCCUUUGAUUAGUACAAUAUAAAAUCUACAUCUAAUAUGUACUUCAGGUUUUAUUAGAUCAUGCCAUAUUACUGUACAAUUUGGACUUUUCCAUUUUUAUAUAAAAUGUAACAUGCAUUGUACAUUAAUAUUUAUAUAUCUUGUUUAUUUAUAUAUCUUUAGAAUUAAUUUCUGCCAAUUAUUUUCUUUAUUUGAAUACUUGGGGUAUCAUAAAGGUGCUGUUGAGGUAUUCUCAAUAUGCUUGUACAACUUCCUGCCUGUAGUUAAUAAAUGUGGAUAUUUCAUUAAACAAUUGAAAUAUAGCUGGCUGAGCUUUUUAAAGAUGGCUAUUCUGAAUUCUUCACAGAUGGCACAGUGUCAGAAUCGUGUGUGGCCUCCUGCUGCCUGAACCAUGCCGCUAAGACAGUUGCCCACUGUGCAGCUUCACACCAUCUGCAGAGAGCAACACUGCAGAGCCUUUGGGAGAGCCUUGCCAGUCGCUGAAAGCCUGGCUGACUGCCAAGCCUUGCACUGUAGACUGAAAAUUGCUCUCUUUGCUGAGCUCAGUACUAACACUUAGAUCUUCAUGGUCUCCUGGGAGACCAUGUCAGCUGCUGUUCAGUGAGAUAAAUUUGGAUCAGCUGAAGAUAUGCACUCUCUAUGCCUUCCUUGACUGUCAGCUAAACAGUGUGCACUCCUGGCUUAGUACAGCCUUGGCUGCUGAGAGCCCCAUUCCUCCCCUGUGCUCUUCAUUGUCCUCAUGAUCUGGCUUUCAUCAUCCAUUAUACUCCUAACACUGGGAGUGAAGUGUCAUUGAAGAAUGUUCAUCAGGCACUACCUCAAAGGGCUGGAGAUGAUUGGUGAAUGCUUUGAUUCUUCAUUCCUCCUAGGACACAUAUCAAGCCCCCAGAAUUUCUCUCUAUCCAGUUGCACCAGUGUGAGGAACUUGACGGUGUCAGGAAAGUGAAACUGCUUCUCUGCUCCAUAUAAAUGUCUGUGCAGAUGCAAAGCCAUGCAUUACAUGGUAGCUCACCUUUAAUCCUAGCACUCAGGAGACAGAGGCAGGAGGAUCUCUCCGAGCUCAAGGCCAGCCUGGUCUUCACAGUGAGUUCCAGGACAGCCAAGGCUACACAGGAAUCCUGUGUACAGGUCCUUGGUAUUGCACUCCUCUCUAUAAACACAACUUGCUUUUAGAAUGUGUGGUUGUUAAGUUGUUCUGUGAAGGAUGGAUAAAGGCUAGCUCACUACUACACCCGUCAGCUUGCUCCUGUCACUUCUUCUCACCUUUGAGCACUUAGCAUCCCUCUCCGUGUUGUCUUUGCUGAAAUGCUUGCUAAGGCGAAGCUCCUCUGUAGCUGUCCUCUAGCCCCAGCCAAGAUUCUUUCAAGAUUUUUCUUUGGCCUUCUGUAAUUUGAAUAUGAUGAAUGUUUUUAUUUACUACUUCAUUUUGUAUUUUGAAUCUUUUUUAAACCAUGCCAGGUUCUCUAGGCUCCUGGUUCUGAUAUGAAUUGAGCGAUUAUCUUAGGCCCUUGUGUUUCAAAUCUUUCUUUCUUUCUUUCUUUCUUUCUUCCUUCCUUCCUUCUUUUCUUUUCUUUUCUUUUCUUUUUUUUUUUUGAGACAGGGUUUCUCUGUAUAGCUCUGGCUGUCCUGUAACUCACCCGGUAGAUCAGGCUGUCCUUGAACUCAGAAAUCCGCCUGCCUCUGCCUCCCAAGUGCUGGAAUUAAAGUCAUGUGCCACCACUGCCCGGCUUACUCAAAUAUUUCCUUUUUUUUUUCAGUCCUCUCUAGUGAUCUCAUUAUACAUGUGUAUAUUCUCUAGUUGUCCCAGUUAUAUGAUGUUCUUCUCUCUCUCUCUCUCUUCCCCCCACCCUGUGUGUGUGUGCGCGUGCAUGCGCGCGUGCAUGUACCCAAGGAAACUAGAAAAGGACUUCAACUCCUUGACGAAGGAGGUACAAGCAUUUGUCAGCCACCUGAUACAGGUAGCAGAAUCUAAACUCUGAUCCACAUUAUUAAGCAGCAAGUGCUGUUACCUGCUAAACUAUCUCGCUGAAAUUUAUCUCUUAGAAAGUUUCUAAUAUAUUAUCACUGUCAGGGAUUCUUUGGCUUGGUUCAGUCUGCUAAUAAGCUUAGGAAAGGCAAUUUUCAUUUUGUUGCAAUAUUUUUGAUCUGUAGCUUUUGUUGUUAUUCUUGUUCAUUUUUCAAACCAGGGUUUCUCCACGGCUAUACUGGAACUCUCUGUAGACUAGGCUGGCCUCAAACUCUCAAAUAUCUCACUGCCUCUGCCUCCCAUGUUCUGGGAUUAUAUCCCUCCACUGCCCAACAGCAUUUAUUUUAUUCUUAAGAUUUGUUUUUCCCUGCUCGUUUGUUUGUUUGUCUGUUUGUUUGGUAUGGUCAUUUGUUUGUUUGUUUUGAUGUAUUUGAACUUGCUAUCUUUAUGUGAGGAUAAGCCUAAGUGUGUAAUAUUUCUGUACUCAUCUCCCAAAUGCUGAAAUGUAGACACGAACCACCACACACUAGGUUUGUUUGGUUUUCUUUUGCAUGCAUUUAUUGUAUUGUGUACAGUACUGGUACCAAAGGAGUCCAUCACAUUCUCUAGAACUUGAAUUACAGAUGGUUGUGAGUUGUCACAUGGUGCUGAGAAUUAAACUUGAUCUUCUUCUUUUUUAAAUUUAAAUUUCUUCACUUACAUUUAAAAUGCUAUCUGAAAAGUCCCCCAUUACCCCCCCCCCUCACUCCCCUACCUACCCACUCCCACUACUUGGCCCCGGUGUUCCCUGUACUGGGGCAUAUAAAGUUUGCAAGACCAAGGAGCCUCUCUUCCCAAUGAUGGCCGACUAGGCCAUCUUCUACAUAUGCAACUAGAGACACAAGCUCUGGGGUACUGGUUAGUUCAUAAUGUUAUUCCACCUAUAGGGUUGCAGACCCCUUCAGCUCCUUGGGUACUUGCUCUAGCUCCUCCAUUGGGGACCCUGUGUUCUAAACUUGAUCUUCUGAAGAGUAACCACUAUUGAUUUUAACUGCUAAGUCAUGUCUCCAGUCCCAAAAGAGGUUUUUUUGUUUGUUUGUUUUUCAUUACUGUGAUGAUCCUAUAAUGAAGAAGAGAAUGCUGGUGGUUUGUUUAUGUGUUUGUUUGUUUUUUGAGACAGGGUUUCACUGUGUGUCCUUGGCUGCCCUGGAAUUUAAGCAUCAGACUGGCCUUGAUCUCACAGAGAUCUGCCUACUUUUGCGCUGAGAUUAAAGGUCUGCACUAACACCUCCCAGCCAGAUGUCUCUUUAACAGACUGACUUUACUUCCUCACGAGUAUUAUGAUGGUUUCUUCCUGUCCUGUGAGGAAUGCUAUUGAUUUGGGGUUUGGUUUGUGGAAUUUUUGUUUUCUGGUUUUUUGUAAUUUUUCCCCCCUAAAUAUCAUGCUGUCUUAUUCUUUGGGGACAGAAUGUUUCAAUUCCAAGGAAUACAACGUUACAACGUAAUAUUCAGUGUGCCAACUCAAUCCCACUGGAAGACACUCUUAAUCUAAUGCCAUACUUCCAUGAAUUUCCCAAGAAGGGUAGAUGUCAUCAAAAUCAUAUGCAAAUUCGAGGAAGUUGACUCAGCACCCUGUGUGCAGCACAUGAACUUCUGCAUUGGAGUCCACAGCACUCGCUUGGCGCGGAGAGCUAUCUGUAAUCCCAGCACUGGGCUAUGGAAUUGGACACGGGAGGAAUCCUGGAGCUCAGCCUAGCUGAAUCAGAUAGAGACCCAAGACUCCACAACUCAAAAUAAUAAUAAGAAAAAUAAUAAUAAGGUGGAGCUGAUUGAGGAAGAAACCCACACAAAUGUACAUA
rnacentral:lncRNA from 1 species